AGGCAGUGUAUUGUUAGCUGGCUGCUUGAGUCAAGUCAGCAGCCACAACUACCCUGCCAC
rnacentral:pre_miRNA from 1 species